GGCGGAUUAGCCAAGAUACUGAAUCGGG
rnacentral:tRNA from 1 species